UGAGAAAAAAAAGUAUAAUUAUUGAUAAUGGAUUCCGUGAGAAAAAAAAGUAUAAUUAUUGAUAAUGGAUUUCAUGAGAAAAAAAAGUAUAAUUAUUGAUAAUGGAUUUCAUAGCUUAGCCAAAGUCUUACAAAGAUUUACAAGGCUAUGUAAAAUUUGUACUUUUUGAACAUUUACAUCUAACGUUUUCUUAAAUAUAUCAACAAAAUCUAUGAAAAUUGGAGUUUAUUUUUAUUUAAGGUGGUACCCAACACUUUCACUAAAAUUAAUUUGGCUCGUUUAAUUUUCACAAAAUUUUGACAAAGUAUUUACUUUGACCCUUUGACAAAAAUAUAAAAAUUUCAAAAAAUUUGAACCAACCAAUUUAUCAGAAAAAUUACACUGGUUAUAUAGCAGUUUGACAAACACUAAUUUUGAUCAUUGAGAAGCUUAAUAUUUCCUUAACAACACAACGUAAUUAAAACGUUUAGCUGAUUUUACAGAGUUAUCUCCCUGUAGUGUUAGGUACCACCUUAAAAAUAAAUAAUAAUGAAUUCACAGAAACUUUCCUUUAUUAACUUUACGCAAUCCAAAUGGGCAUGAUAAACUUGUGUUACUGGACCUUAAUGUUAUUGUAAAAUCCAGGUAGUUUCAUUUGUGGAAAUGGUUAAUUGUAGUAAAUGUUUUAUUAUUUCUUUACUUUAUAAAUGUAUUUAUGAUUUUGUUGUUAUCAUUUAAUUCCAUUUUGUUAUUUUUUAAAUGUUUAAAAAAUGUAGAUAUUUUAAUUUUAUAUAUGUAUAGUAGAUAAGAGAAAAAAAGUUAUUUUAAAGUAACUUCUGUUAAAAGAGCUUUAUACUGAUCUAUAUUUGUACAUUUUUUCAAUGCAAACAAGAAAAAACUUACAAAUAUAUUUGCAGGAAUUUAUUUAAUUUUACAAAAAGUAAAUUGGAUAAGAUUUAGAGUUUGCAAAUAUUUUAAGAAAAAUAAACAUGAAUGUGAAAAUAUACCAUCCCCUUAAUAGAUCACAGUAUGCACUAACAACUUAAUAGUAACACAAUGUGAAAACUUGAUUUUUUUUCAAAUUUCAACUUAUAUAUCAUUUAUAUAGAACAAAAAUUUCAAAUAUUUAGUAUUAUUCGUUAGUCUUAAAGAGGGCCAGUUUCAUAUAGACAUACAUAUUUGUUAUAUUUUAUUGUUAUAGGUCAUUUAAAUAUAUCCAUUUAUAAUCUGUUUGCCUUGUGCGAUAACAUUAUUUUAUAGUGAUAGCCAAAAAUGCUAGUUUAUCAUUACCACUAUAGAGUAUAGAUUUCAUGUAAAACCACUUUUUUUUUGUUAGAUCAAUUUUUAUCAAAUCAGCAGCAUUGAAUGCAGAAAUCUUCUAUAUUCUUAAAUAAUAGUCUGACAUAUACAUGUAUAAAGAUGAAAGUAUUCUUUCAGAUGUGAUCUUAAAAAAAUUAUACUCGCCUUUAUGACGUCAUUUACCAGAUAGAGGGGGUCGCCUGUAUCCCUGCACUAUUAACGUUCAUCAAGGGUCUUAGUGAUCGUCAUUGUGCAGGAUAAACUAGAAAUAAUGGUUGUUCUGUAGGUACUUAAUGAUAAUUCCCUAAUGACAGCAGUGCUGAUUGUCAAUUUUGAUAAUUCAAUUUUCCGAAAUAUUCGUACAAUAUAUAAUUAUAGUUUUCCAACCACUCGCUCAGCAUAGCAAUGGAAGUGACGACGCCCCUAAACGCACAAAUAACGUUCACUAAAACCAGAGUUUUUGACGAAAAUGCAUCAAACUCGAAAGUUGUCUAUUGAAAUAUCUUGGACAUACUUGUUGCAGAACACUUCCAUUUGAUUUAUUUUUCACGGAAACAAAAUAAAUUUUGUAUUCAUGCAUAUGGCUGACCUCAAAAGUAUCUGCCAAUUAAUUGAUUUUUAUCCAAAAAAUUCUUUUUAUGUACAUUCCAUUUUUUCCACACAUGUGAUUUUUUUGUUAUUUUCUGUUGAAUAUUUUGAAUGCUUUAUAGGGCUUAAAAAUUGUGGCUUUUUCAUUUUUGCAUCAGAUUUUUUUGGGGUUUGAAGAUGACCAUUACAAGACAGAGUGUUUUCUCUGUGUAAUUUUAGACCAUAAGGCCAACUAAUGUUGAAUAUAAAAAAAUUCUCAUACUGUAAGAGGUCCAACAGAUUUUUUGUUGAAUCCUUAUUAUUGUAAACCAACUAAUUUUUGCAACUUUUGCAAGUAGAAAAACAAAGUGAAAGUUAAUAAAAGUGGAUACAAAUAUGUGAAAGUUGUAUAUUCCCUAAAAAUAACAAAGUUUAGAAAAUCAAGAAAUUAAGUUGUCGUGUUGUCAUCUAACACGCAUGAAAUGCAAAAUGGUAUUAGAGAAAUAAUAAGUUGGUUUACAGUAUUUCAUUCAUAAUAAAAGGUCAAAUGCAUUUUUUAUUGACAUUCAAUCAAAUUGAAGACGGAAGUAAAAAUGUGAGAAAAAAAUCAGUGAAAGACGUAAAUACUACUUUUAACUUUGAAUUUUGAAUUUUGAACCUCUUUGCAUGAGAAUCUUUUUAAUUUUAUUUACUUAGCCUCAUUUUUGUUAUAUUUUUACCUGUGAUUAUGUUAUAGUAUGAAUCAAAAGAAAUUAUUGUUGUAUUUGUUUUCAUUCUAACAAAUUCUGUGUUACACACUUUUUAUAUAUGUAUAUAUAGUUUAUACUUCUAUCAAUGAUAUUAAAUUUGUAAGAGGAAAUUGGGCGCAGAUAUAAAUCUUCAUAUAAUAGAAGUAGAUAGUUUUAAGAAAGCUGAAGAUAGUUAACAUUAUCUAGUAGUAUGCUAAAAUUAAUAUUUCUUUUAUUGAAGGAUAUUUAUUGUUGUUUCUUUUGUUAUAUUUCUUAAAAAAUUUCUUAGUUUGUAUUAAUAUGUAAAACCAUUCUACAAAGAAAUUUCAUUAAACGAAUUAUUGAUGAUGCCAUAGUAAAAAACCUAAAUACCGAAAAGUCAGCAAUACCAGAUAUUUCUAUAAUUCACAUCUAAAAAUAAUUCACAUCAUAUAAUUCACAUCAUAUCAAUAAAAAAUCUUGAAAACAUGUCUAUAACAUUUUUUUAAAUGACAAAUACUGAAAUUCAGUAUUCAAAUGUUUUAAUGAAUUGGAACAAAAAUAAGUACGAAAUGAAUAAUCAUGAAUUCUUCGGAAAAUACCUUUAAUGAGUCAGGAAUAUGACAGUUGUUUUUCAUUGGUUUAUAUAGUCUUCAGGUUUGGAUUUGUCAAGUUUUUUGUACCUUUCCCUUUUGGAAGUUACAUUGGAGUUUGGUAUUUUCAUUAAUACCUUUUUUUCACAGUACAUGUGUGUAUAAUUUAUGACUAUAUAUCAUAAGUAUUUUUUUUCAAAAGUUUUCCACUUUUCAGAUAAUAUACAUGUAUAAUAUUUUCUUCCAAAGUUUGAUAAGUACUAUUUGUUAUAGAAUAAGCAUGAGUCUUAGUUGUUUAUUUGUUAAAUUGUUAAAUGUUUUUCUAUUGUGUCAUAUUGCAUGUAAAGAACCUUAACAAUGUUAUACAAUAA
rnacentral:lncRNA from 1 species